ensembl:snRNA U6 U6 spliceosomal RNA
GUGCUCAUUUCAGCAGCACAUAUAAUAAAACUGGAAUGAUACAGAGAAGAUUAACAUGGCCCCUACAUGAGGCUGACAUGCAAAUUUGUGAAGUUAUCCAUAGUUUU